GACAGAGGGUGCGAACGUUGCUCGGAAUGAUUGGGCGUAAAGCGUCUGUAGGUGGCUUUUUAAGUCCGCCGUCAAAUCCCAGGGCUCAACUCUGGACAGGCGGUGGAAACUACCAAGCUGGAGUACGGUAGGGGGCAGAGGGAAUUUCCGGUGGAGCGGUGAAAUGCGUAGAGAUCGGAAAGAACACCAACGGCGAAAGCACUCUGCUGGGCCGACACUGACACUGAGAGACGAAAGCUAGGGGAGCGAAUGGG
rnacentral:rRNA from 1 species